rnacentral:rRNA from 1 species
AACGAACGCUGGCGGCAGGCUUAACACAUGCAAGUCGAGCGCCCCGCAAGGGGAGCGGCAGACGGGUGAGUAACGCGCGGGAAUCUACCCAUCUCUACGGAAUAACGCAUGGAAACGUGUGCUAAUACCGUAUACGUCCUGCGGGAGGAAGAUUUAUCGGAGAUGGAUGAGCCCGCGUUGGAUUAGCUAGUUGGUGGGGUAAAGGCCUACCAAGGCGACGAUCCAUAGCUGGUCUGAGAGGAUGAUCAGCCACACUGGGACUGAGACACGGCCCAGACUCCUACGGGAGGCAGCAGUGGGGAAUAUUGGACAAUGGGCGCAAGCCUGAUCCAGCCAUGCCGCGUGAGUGAUGAAGGCCCUAGGGUUGUAAAGCUCUUUCACCGGUGAAGAUAAUGACGGUAACCGGAGAAGAAGCCCCGGCUAACUUCGUGCCAGCCGCCGCAGUAAUAC